AGAACGAACGCUGGCGGCAGGCUUAACACAUGCAAGUCGAACGGGUGUCGCAAGACAUCAGUGGCAGACGGGUGAGUAACACGUGGGAACCUUCCUAGGGGUACGGAACAACUCAGGGAAACUUGAGCUAAUACCGUAUACGUCCGUAAGGAGAAAGAUUCAUCGCCCCUAGACGGGCCCGCGUCGGAUUAGGUAGUUGGUGGGGUAACGGCCUACCAAGCCGACGAUCCGUAGCUGAUCUGAGAGGAUGAUCAGCCACACUGGGACUGAGACACGGCCCAGACUCCUACGGGAGCAGCAGUGGGGAAUCUUGGACAAUGGGCGCAAGCCUGAUCCAGCCAUGCCGCGUGAGUGAAGAAGGCCUUAGAGUUGUAAAGCUCUUUACCAGGGACGAUAAUGACGGUACCUGGAGAAUAAGCCCGCAAACUUCGCGCCAGCAGCCGC
rnacentral:rRNA from 1 species